AUUGAACGCUGGCGGCAGGCCUAACACAUGCAAGUCGAGCGGAUGAAGGGAGCUUGCUCCUGGAUUCAGCGGCGGACGGGUGAGUAAUGCCUAGGAAUCUGCCUGGUAGUGGGGGAUAACGUCCGGAAACGGGCGCUAAUACCGCAUACGUCCUGAGGGAGAAAGUGGGUGAUCUUCGGACCUCACGCUAUCAGAUGAGCCUAGGUCGGAUUAGCUAGUUGGUGGGGUAAAGGCCUACCAAGGCGACGAUCCGUAACUGGUCUGAGAGGAUGAUCAGUCACACUGGAACUGAGACACGGUCCAGACUCCUACGGGAGGCAGCAGUGGGGAAUAUUGGACAAUGGGCGAAAGCCUGAUCCAGCCAUGCCGCGUGUGUGAAGAAGGUCUUCGGAUUGUAAAGCACUUUAAGUUGGGAGGAAGGGCAGUAAGUUAAUACCUUGCUGUUCUGACGUUACCAACAGAAUAAGCACCGGCUAACUUCGUG
rnacentral:rRNA from 1 species